rnacentral:rRNA from 1 species
CCCUUAGAUGUUCUGGGCCGCACGCGCGCUACAAUGGUCUUCGCAAAAGGAUGCAUUCUCGAAGGAGAAUGCCAAUCUUGGAAUCUAUGCCUUGGUCGGGACAGUUGCUUGCAAUUUUUCGACUCGAACCAGGAAUUCCUUGUAAUCGUGAUUCAUCACAUCACGAUGAAUACGUCCCUGCCCUUUGUACACACCGCCCGUCGCUCCUACCGAUCGAAGAGUUAGGUGAAUUGUUUUGAUCGAUAAGAUUUGACUAUGGUCAACUCUCGUUGUGAAAUUCUGUGAAUCUGACUGUUUAGAGGAAGGAAAAGUCGUAACA